CGAACGCUGGCGGCAGGCCUAAUACAUGCAAGUCGAACGGCUCUUCGGAGCAGUGGCGGACGGGUGAGUAACGCGUGGGAAUGUGCCCUUUGGUACGGAACAACACAGGGAAACUUGUGCUAAUACCGUAUGUGCCCUUCGGGGGAAAGAUUUAUCGCCAUUGGAGCAGCCCGCGUUGGAUUAGGUAGUUGGUGAGGUAAAGGCUCACCAAGCCUACGAUCCAUAGCUGGUCUGAGAGGAUGAACAGCCACACUGGGACUGAGACACGGCCCAGACUCCUACGGGAGGCAGCAGUAGGGAAUCUUGCGCAAUGGGCGAAAGCUUGACGCAGCCAUGCCGCGUGUAUGAUGAAGGUCUUAGGAUUGUAAAAUACUUUCACCGGGGAAGAUAAUGACGGUACCCGGAGAAGAAGCCCCGGCUAACUUCGUGCCAACCGCCGCGGUAACAC
rnacentral:rRNA from 1 species